rnacentral:rRNA from 1 species
GAUCAUAGUUCAGGACGAACGCUGGCGGCGUGCUUAACACAUGCAAGUCGAACGGAAAGAGAUGAAAGAGCUUGCUCUUUUAUUAAUUUCAGUGGCAAACGGGUGAGUAACACGUAAACAACCUGCCUUAAGGAUGGGGAUAACAGACGGAAACGACUGCUAAUACCGAAUACGUUCUAAGCAUCGCAUGGUGCAUAGAAGAAAGGGUGGGCCUCUACAAGAAAGCUAUCGCCUUAAGAGGGGUUUGCG